GGGGGGGGGGGAGGGCGGAUGGUGUGUCCUAAGACACGUUGCCAGAUGUGUCUCAUGGGCUUCCGGAUUGAUGACAAGGGAAGGGCCCUUAGCUGCCUUUGGGGACAUUGUUGUGCUUUAUGUGACAACAUGAUGAGUCUUUCAGAUCAUUUCAUUUGUCUGAGUGUGGGUCUCGUACCCACCCCCCCUCCCGAUUCGUGGUCUUCAGGUUUUGUGGUGUUUGCAGCUUAAAAAUGCAGAAAAAAGGGUGCGGUUGGCUGAGCCUGAGUGGGUCUCAGACAGGACGAUGGCUGUUGGCUGCCUGGGAGCCGCUUUUGGUUUCCACGGUACGGUGUUUGGGGACGGGACUUGUCGCCGACUGUUGUUUACAUCUGGGUCUUGGCCAUUUGCGUGAGGUGUCUCGGUGACCGGCUAUCUCUUAUCUUGAUGUGAAACAAAAGGAAACUGAAAGUAAGGAGAGGGGGGCACGUGUGUGAUUACGACAGCCAGCCGAUGCCUGUCUUUGAGGGCAGUUUUGUCUUUCAUUGAACAUGACUGUGUGUUUCCUAUCAGUUGUUGAAAAUUUGGAAUGGUCUUCUGCAUAUGCUGCCUUGAAAAGGCGGGGGAACCGCCUGAUAAUGCCAACAUGAAAGUGGGGAAACAGAUGGCGUGGUGGGCUCAGGGCUUGUUCACUGACCACCGGGAAUUGUCUUCAGUCAUCACUGAAAGCUGCAUUUUUCUGUAACGUGUUCGUGUUUUUCCUAUCAUUGUAUCCAACCAAUAGCGGUCCGGAAGCUUUUCACGUGUUUUCCAUAAAAAAAAAAAUGUUCUAUUAAUUGCCGUCUUCGAAUGAGAAGGUAGCCUAUUGGGUCGGCUUGGCAGGGCCUUGGUGCUUUAAGUCCCUGAUGGGAAUGAUCUGCUCGGGAUCUUAGUUCUUGUUUCAUGGGAUAGCGUAAUGGCAGUGGGGUGUGUUUUCCCUGUGAUCUUGCAACAUGGCAUCCGUUUGAGUUUGGUUUUUUAUUUUGACUGUGUUUCCUACGCGUUCUCCAAAGGUGAAAGUAUUUUCAGCGUGCACCGUGGAACAAUUUGUCCGGCUGGACACGUGAAAGUUUCACACGCCGAAGGUCUCCUAGCCGCUCUUGUUAGCCAAGACUGAACACUGUUUUGGCAUUUAAUUUUCCAUGUUCGCCUUAAGGCAGCCAAUUGAAUUUUGAUGUUGGCGCUCCUCAUAGAUUUCCUUUAAAGUGCUUGGUGUAAAUUUCAAUUUACAGAGGAGGCAUUCAACGUCUAAUGGGGUGCCUUAUGUUUCCAGUAUAAUGGCGUGUUUGACACAAUUUAUUUUGCUAAAUCCUGGUCUUGUUCGCUAUGGAUAAAUUCUCUUAAAAACAGAGGCUUUCUGGGGAAACUGCCUGGCUCAGUGAUAGAACCUGUGACUCUUGAUGGGGGGGUUGUGGUUGCAGGCCCCACACUGGUGUGGAGAGUGCUUAAAAAUAAAGCCUUCAAAAUGAAUAAUAAUAAACGUUUUGAGGUGAUCUCAAAUCUCAAUUCAAAACAAUCUGGUGAAUGCUUGCCUCUCAUACAGUUGGGGAUUUGGGUGUACAAGAGAAUUGGGACUCCUAUGACUUUGUUCCAUUCAAUGUGGUUCCAGGCCCUUUGCGUAAGCUUUGUGUUAACCAGUUUUGGCGUUAUCGUUAAUUUACAAAUGAGGAAAAGAUUGUUUUAAUUAUGUGUGUGCUUCUUGCUUUAUGACAGUGACUGGCUCCCGGUGGCCCGGGAGCCCAACCUUUCGUCUUAUCUGCUAUUAAAAUGUUUCUGAAAAACCGGCUCUGAGUGUUUUAUUUCAUGGGUCUACUUAAAAUUUUCUUUCCAAUGUAAAAAAUAGCAGGUACUGACCAUCAGGCUGACGGUGCUGUUUCCUGACCACGAAUUCCGGGAAGUGCCUGUCACCGGCCAUCCCGGAAUUCCGUUGGCUUCGUCCUGGGUUUCAUUUCUCAUGAUAAUCACAUGACACUUAUCAACUUUACUCAGGUCAGUUCUGUACUUAGUCUUUAAUGCAUUUGCUUUGAACGUCACGGGGCAUUUUCAAUUUAUUUACAAGCAAAUUCACCCCCAGAAGCAUUGCUCUCUGUGUUCUAGAACUGAAUGGCCCUUGCUGGUCGCAGUGCAUACUUUUGAAUAUUAUAUUAGAACCCUGAUUGUGCACGUGACAUAGUGGUAUUUCUUUUCUUUUCUUUUUUUUCUUGUUAUGUCUUUAAAUGCUGACCCAGGUGUUCCUUCCUCGGUGUUCUCCCAUAGAAAAGAUCACUUUCUGGUAUCGUAUUUGCAAACAGUCUGUCCCCUGACACCUCCAGUCCUCCUUGUUAGGGGUCCUGGGCUAGACUGGAGAUGCCGCUCUCCCUGCACCCUACUGCACCCCAAUCGCAGAGGGUGCUGUCCCUGCCUCUUUAGCCACAAGAGCUGACCGUGCCUUAAUGCCCCAAGGGCUAGCAUAUUGGCUUAGGAAAUAGUCGGUGGCUGCCUGCUUCUCCUCAUACACCUCCCUUCCCGUGUCAGACCUAAUGUGUAUACAAGGGGAGAAUUAACUGAGAGGGAAGCUGUUGUUUUGCUCACGACCCUGAGCGCCCUCAUCCCUGAGUGUCAUCUGAUACUUGGUGUUAAGUACAACAGGGACUUCCUUUUGAUAAUGGUGAUAGCUGGGUUUGCCUUAUUAGCCUUUUUGCUGAUUGAUUCUUGAUAUUGACUUGAAUUUGGUAUCUUAGCUCACGUAGGAACGAUUUAAUGACUCAUAUCGGUGACACGUUGGAGGUCUGUAAAACGUACUUUGAUUACAUUUAGACCUGUGAAAGGUCCACUGCUGGUAUUUGGGUUUGACUGUCGUCGGUACUGACAGGAAAGCAGACUUCGGGAACGGGGACCCUCAACUAGCCUCACCAAUCCUGACUUUUGAGACAGAGUCCUAGAUCUUGAACAAAAUCUAAGUGUGGAAUGAAGGUGCUUUCAUUACUGGCCCAUUGCCUGUAGUAUCCUAGGGGCAUUCUUGCACAUUGAGAGCAGAUUCUCCGAUGUGUAUGUAACCAAAUGUCCAAUUUGUUCCCGUUGUUUCCCCCUCGGAGACCUACGUUCAACGUCAGGUGGUAGGGGCAUUAUGCAAUGUGUGAAAUGCUUCGGGAAUUUGUUGUGAUUAACUUAGCUCAUUUUCCUUUCUAGCAGUUUUGGACCUUACUAUGUUACCGAUUACGAAGUCUAGUAUAGCGGCCCAGCCAUCGUAAGGUGCAUUUCGUGGUCUAUUAAGUAGAACACAAAACCCAUUUGAAUGAUUUGUUAGCCAUCGUCUUGCGUGGUAUGUCAGUGUCAGCCAUUGGUGACAAAGUGAGAACACCACCACCCAUUCCAGAGGUUUGUUACCCGCAAUUGUGUAUGAGUGGACGGUUUCAUUAGUGAAGAGCGACAUGGGAGUUCUGAGACACCCCUUCUCGCCACUGAGUGGUGAUACCUCUUAACAUAAUUUUUAAGAAUUCCCCUGCGCUGGGUGAUGAAGGCGGGAUGCACCAUGGUUCGUGCUGAGGGGACAAUCAGCCAGCCUCUGAAGCCGCAGUCUCACCUUGUGGGUUGACUCAUGCAGUUCCUGCCUUACGUUCUCCUUCACUCUUUUGGCCUACUUCACACAGGCUGCGUGAUUGGGUCCUCUGGCCCCAGCAACCACUUUCAGAAAUUGCUCUGGAUGAGGGAAAGAGGAAGUUUGCCCCAUCCACGCGUGUUGUGAGUUUCCAAGUGACCUGAUUUUCCUGCAGCGGUCCCAAGCUGACCUUCCACAGGUAAGGCUCUUUGUAGAUUUGUACCGUCAUCCCCUCCCUCAGGAUCUGUGAUGGGAACGUCCAGUUCCGGUCAGCCGGUGGGCCCGUAAUGAGAGGAGAGGACCCUGAACCGAGAGUCAAGACCAGCCAUACAGAUGUUGCCGAGACCGUGUCACCCAUCGUGUUUCGUUCACAAUACGUUUCCAGUAUGGGAGUCUGAAAGACCCUCGGCCCUUUCUUCCUGUCAUCUCUGAGCCUCAGCUUCCACAUCUGCAAAAUGGAAAUGACACCUUGCUCUUGCUCUCAGGCGUGGUGUGAAAGUCAAGCGUGAUCGUCUUUAGGAAGUGCUCAGCACACAGGAGGGCCAGCAACUAUUCUCAGAGGGUCUUGGGCAUCUCUUUGGAAAUGGACCUCUCUAACUCUGCUGUGAUGCCAGGAGGUAGCCCAGCAUCCCAGACCCUGCCUUUCUCUGAGCUGCAUUCUUUCCUGGCUGCCUUGGACGUCUGACAUGGAAGCUGAUGUCACUCAGCGUCAAGUUGGGGCUGGAGGGUGCUUGGUAACUGGCAGUGCCCAAAGGUCUCCUGUCUUUCCUUCUCUGUAUAAAGUUACUUCUUUGCUGGGCAGGGGUUAAUUUGGUGAAAAUCAGGUGAAGACGUUGACGGUUGGGUGUGAGAGUGUUAAGCAUAAAGACGAAUGGCUCUAAGGUGCAUUCAAAGACCCUCGGGACCUCUAGAGUCAGACACACCUCUGGUUCCUCUGUUGCUUUGUUCGCACCAGUUUUAUCCAGAAGGUGGCAUCGCAGAGCCUGAUGUGCACUGCCCAAAGUCCAAACGAUCCACAUUUGUUUGUGGUUAGACACUAACGUAUGUAGCCUUUCCACAGCAUGUUGACAUUUCAGAGACUUUUCCUUUAUCCCUAUACUUGGUUCAGUUACUUUCAAGCCGUGGGAGAUGGGGGUCAUUACGACUUCCUACCCAGUGAAAACCUGAGACCUGAGGUACUUAGAAAACUCUGUGCCCCAACACAUGUUCCUUCCCCAGGCGGGAGGUACAAAAGUGAACAAGAAUGGCUUGUUUGCUUGUCAAAAGCAGUUGUACAACUAAACGACUGUGAUGCCUCCUCCUUCUUGCACACACACUGGUGCGCGCCCACUGCCCAUCAAAGUCAUGUUGGGUCAUUUCAUUGGGGGGAGGGAUGGGGAAGACGUAGAUGAAUGUUUUAUGGGUAAGUCUUCUGAGUACUGGCACUUAACAAAAUAAGUCCCAAGGUUGACGCUUCCAAAAGGGUGACUGUUUAACUGGUGGCAUCUCAAACUCAGCACCCUGAGGGAAAGACAAGGUGACCCUCCCAAUUUAAGGUGGGAUCUGGCUUGGUGGCUCUUUCCCAGGAGUCCACUCUGGAGCCCGCCACAUCAGUUGCAUUAUGAGGCCUGUACUCAAUGAAUGUGUACUUCCCAGCGGGGAUGUUAAUGAGUUAUGAAUUCUUGGUGUGACGUAUUUCAUGUCAAACCCUGUUAGCCUGAAGUGGAUUUUCAUUCCUCUUAUGUAUGUCGGUGACAGAAAGGGAAUGGAUAUCGAACACCUGAAGGUAAGGCCUUUGCACCUGUGCUGCCGAAGGAGCACGAGGUAAGGCCUUUGAAAUGGAGUGGAUUCGUUGUCACACCGGUUCCCUGUUAUAGGCGCACGUUUCCACGGAUGAGUAUUAUUUCAUUGGAUACAUGUACCACAUUUCCUUUAUCCAUUUAUACUGUUGAUGGAUGCUCACAAGUCUCUCAUGUCAUACAUGGUGAGAAUAAUACUGUAGUGAGGAUAUGGAAUGAGUAUGUGUCUUUGACAUAGUGGCUUCCUGUCGUUUACAUAAACGCCCAGAUACGGGAUUGAUACAUCAUAUAGGAGCUCAAUUAUUAAUUUUUUGAGAGGACAUCCUACUGUUCUCCUUAGUGCUACCCAGUGUGAGGCUGUCAGGUUGUCAGACUCCCUUUACAAAGAUGCUGAAAGAAUACGUCUACCAUGCAGAGCAAUGGUCAACUAGGAAUCACUGGGAAUCCUCAUGUUGUGUACGGGAAACUGGUUGCAUUGUAUCCACGCGUUUCCAUCAAAACUUCCUGCACUCUUCUGGUGAUCAUACCUUGCCCGUGGCAAGAAGAUGAGCGGCGUGUGGGUGCUGUCAAUGAACCUUGCAUGAAGCAGGGGACGUUUAGAUUCUCACGGACAUGAGCUGAUGAGCUGGAUGUCCGGGAGUCUCCUGGGUCAGGUGUCCAGGGUGGAGGAUUCAUCCUUGGGCCUUUGUUUCUAUACGCCAUUUCGGGCCAUUCAUUUCUCCCCAUUAGUGAAGCCUAGGGUCCAGAAGGGAUACAUGAGUAAACUCUGGGAGUGUAAAGAAACUUGCAAGGGGGUGGGUAGUGUGUCUUAGUGUGAAAGUGUGGUAGGCAUUGUGGGUUCAGGGGCAAUGGCAGCAUCUGGCGACUGGGCAGAUAUUAGUUCCCCGGGAAGAAAUGGGUCAUGUCUGGUUCUCAGGCUUCCAAUACAAAGAAGCUAAAAGAGUUUGUCUAUCAUACAGAGCAAUGGCCUCCUAGGAAUCGUUAGCAAUCCUCAUUUUGUGUACGGGAAUGUGGUUGGAAUUGUAUCCACGCGUUUCCAUCCAAGCUUUCUGCACUCUUCUGCUGACCAUACUCUGCACAUGGCGGGAAGAGGAGCGGCGUGUGGGUGCUGUCAAUGAACCUUCCAUGAGGCAGGGGACGUUUAGAUUCUCACGGACAUGAGCUGAUGCGCUGGAUGUCCGGGAGUCUCCUGGGUCAGGUGUCCAGGGUGGAGGAUUCAUCCUUGGGCCUUUGUUUCUAUACGCCAUUUCGGGCCAUUCAUUUCUCCCAAUUAGUGAAACCUAGGGUCCAGAAGGGAUAUAUGAGUAAACUCUGGGAGUGUAAAGAGACUUGCAAGGCGGUGGGUAGUGUGUCUUAGUGUGAAAGUGUGGUAGGCAUUGUGGGUUCAGGGGCAAUGGCAGCAUCUGGCAACUGGGCAGAUAUUAGUUCCCCGGGAAGAAAUGGGUCAUGUCUGGUUCUCAGGCUUCCAAUACAAAGAAGCUAAAAGAGUUUGUCUAUCAUACAGAGCAAUGGCCUCCUAGGAAUCGUUACGAAUCCUCAUUUUGUGGAUGGCAAUGUGGUUGGAAUUGUAUCCACGCAUUUCCAUCUAAGCUUUCUGCACUCUUCUGCUGACCAUACUCUGCACAUGGCGGCAAGAGGAGCGGCGUGUGGGUGCUGUCAAUGAAGCUUCCAUGAGGCAGGGGACCUUUAGAAUAUCAAGGACAUUUGCUAAUGUGCCUUUGUGGUUAUCAGCCUCCAUUUUCAGGCUCUUGAUUUCACUUGAUUAGUGAAAUCUGGGGCCCACAAAGGCUCUGAGGACACCCUGGGAAGAGAAGGAAUCUUGACCUUGGGUGGGCCGAGGGACUUGGAGUGAAAGUUGUGGUAGGCAUUGUGGGUUCAGGGGUGUGUCCCCUGCCUUUGUCCCUUCUCACGCACUACCCUGGGGUCAGCAUAACUGGGGGCGAGAAGACAAUGGACAUUGGUGGAUGUGAUAUGAGACGCUAUGCCUGUCUUGUUGAGUUGACACGUUCAUUAGGAGAACAGGGUGUUGUUUUCCACGUUCCCCGUGGAGUGUGGGUUUGCCAGCAGGCACGGCUCUGCUGUUUCAUCCUUACUCUGUGGUACCAUGGGCCUGUGAGGGAAGGAAGGCCACGGGGUAGGGUGGGUCGUCCUUCCCCCUGCUGUCUUGUUGCAGGUGACAAUCACCUGAGGCCCUUCUGAGAAGGAGCUGCCGUUGCUUAUGCCUCUUUGAUCCUCCAGGGACAUUUUCUUCCCUUGUCCCGGAUGUGUGUUGGCUCUUGGGCACUGCUUGUGGUGUUUGCUUCCCCCUCCAUGUGUCAGGAGGCUGGGUUUUAAAACUGGCAAGAGGCUUGUUUAGCUUUUCAAAAGGUUUGCGAAGAGGCAGAGAGCGCACAAUGACAAGUUUUCCAAAGUCCGUGUUCCCAGAGAAGGGAAGGGGGAGGUCGUGUCCCCCUUUGCAAUGGGGAUAGUUUAGCUCUUGUUUUGUAUUUUCUUUGCCCUGAUGCCAUGCUCCCAUGAGAGACCAGGCCCCAUUGGUACCUGCACCCCUUGGGACCUGCACCCUUGGUACCUGCACCUGCGUGGGUGCAGUCAGUGAACCUUCCAUGAGGCAGGGGACGUUUCGAUUCUCAUGGACAUGUGCAGAUGUUUCUGGAUGUCCGGGAACCUCCUGGGUCAGGUGUCCAGGUUAGAGGAUUAAUCCUUCCUAUUUUGUUUCCUUGUGAUGUUUCAGGCUCUUGAUUUCUCUUGAUUAAUGAAACCUGGGGUCUAGAAGGGAUAUGAGUAUUUACUGAAACUUGACAGCGGGGGUCGAGGGUCUUAAUGUGAACGUGUGGUAGGCAUUGUGGGUUCAGGGGAAAUGGCAGCAUCUGGGGCAUGACAGAUAUUAGAUCCCAGGGAAGAAAUGGGUCAUGUCUGGUUCUCAGGCUUCCAAUACAAAGAAGCUAAAAGAGUUUGUCUAUCAUACAGAGCAAUGGCCUCCUAGGAAUCGUUAGGAAUCCUCAUUUUGUGUAUUGGAAAGUGGUUGGAAUUGUAUCCAAGCCUUUCCAUCUAAGCUUUCUGCACUCUUCUGCUGACCAUACUCUGAACAUGGCGGGAAGACGCGCGGCGUGUGGGUGCUGUCAAUGAACCUUCCAUGAGGCAGGGGACGUUUAGAUUCUCACGGACAUGAGCUGAUGAGCUGGAUGUCCGGGAGUCUCCUGGGUCAGGUGUCCAGGGUGGAGGAUUCAUCGUUGGGCCUUUGUUUCUAUACGUCAUUUCGGGCCAUUCAUUUCUCCCAAUUAGUGAAACCUAGGGUCCAGAAGGGAUAUAUGAGUAAACUCUGGGAGUGUAAAGAAACUUGCAAGGGGUGGGUAGAGUGUCCUAGUGUGAAAGUGUGGUAGGCAUUGUGGGUUCAGGGGAAAUGGCAGCAUCUGGGGCAUGACAGAUAUUAGUUCCCAGGGAAGAAAUGGGUCAUGUCUGGUUCUCAGGCUUCCAAUAC